UAGAACGCUGAAGAGAGGAGCUUGCUCUUCUUGGAUGAGUUGCGAACGGGUGAGUAACGCGUAGGUAACCUGCCUUGUAGCGGGGGAUAACUAUUGGAAACGAUAGCUAAUACCGCAUAACAAUGGAUGACACAUGUCAUUUAUUUGAAAGGGGCAAUUGCUCCACUACAAGAUGGACCUGCGUUGUAUUAGCUAGUAGGUGAGGUAAUGGCUCACCUAGGCGACGAUACAUAGCCGACCUGAGAGGGUGAUCGGCCACACUGGGACUGAGACACGGCCCAGACUCCUACGGGAGGCAGCAGUAGGGAAUCUUCGGCAAUGGGGGCAACCCUGACCGAGCAACGCCGCGUGAGUGAAGAAGGUUUUCGGAUCGUAAAGCUCUGUUGUAAGUCAAGAACGGGUGUGAGAGUGGAAAGUUCACACUGUGACGGUAGCUUACCAGAAAGGGACGGCUAACUACGUGCCAGCAGCCGCGGUAAUACGUAGGUCCCGAGCGUUGUCCGGAUUUAUUGGGCGUAAAGCGAGCGCAGGCGGUUUGAUAAGUCUGAAGUUAAAGGCUGUGGCUCAACCAUAGUUCGCUUUGGAAACUGUCAAACUUGAGUGCAGAAGGGGAGAGUGGAAUUCCAUGUGUAGCGGUGAAAUGCGUAGAUAUAUGGAGGAACACCGGUGGCGAAAGCGGCUCUCUGGUCUGUAACUGACGCUGAGGCUCGAAAGCGUGGGGAGCGAACAGGAUUAGAUACCCUGGUAGUCCACGCCGUAAACGAUGAGUGCUAGGUGUUGGAUCCUUUCCGGGAUUCAGUGCCGCAGCUAACGCAUUAAGCACUCCGCCUGGGGAGUACGACCGCAAGGUUGAAACUCAAAGGAAUUGACGGGGGCCCGCACAAGCGGUGGAGCAUGUGGUUUAAUUCGAAGCAACGCGAAGAACCUUACCAGGUCUUGACAUCCCGAUGCUAUUUCUAGAGAUAGAAAGUUACUUCGGUACAUCGGUGACAGGUGGUGCAUGGUUGUCGUCAGCUCGUGUCGUGAGAUGUUGGGUUAAGUCCCGCAACGAGCGCAACCCCUAUUGUUAGUUGCCAUCAUUCAGUUGGGCACUCUAGCGAGACUGCCGGUAAUAAACCGGAGGAAGGUGGGGAUGACGUCAAAUCAUCAUGCCCCUUAUGACCUGGGCUACACACGUGCUACAAUGGUUGGUACAACGAGUUGCGAGUCGGUGACGGCGAGCUAAUCUCUUAAAGCCAAUCUCAGUUCGGAUUGUAGGCUGCAACUCGCCUACAUGAAGUCGGAAUCGCUAGUAAUCGCGGAUCAGCACGCCGCGGUGAAUACGUUCCCGGGCCUUGUACACACCGCCCGUCACACCACGAGAGUU
rnacentral:rRNA from 1 species